CAGCCGCCGCGGGAAUACGAGGGGGGCAAGCGUUGUUCGGAAUUAUUGGGCGUAAAGGGUGCGUAGGCGGUUUGGCAAGUCUUAUGUGAAAUCUUCGGGCUCAACCCGAAGUCUGCAUGAGAAACUGCCGGGCUUGAGUAUGGGAGAGGUGAGUGGAAUUUCCGGUGUAGCGGUGAAAUUCGUAGAUAUUGGGAAGAACACCAGUGGCGAAGGCGGCUCACUGGACCGACACUGACGCUGAGGCGCGAAAGCGUGGGGAGCAAACAGGAUUAGAUACCCCCGUAGUCCCUGUCUCUUAUAC
rnacentral:rRNA from 1 species